UGCAUCUCUGGUGUUACUUAUAGUAUUACUUUGACAUAGGCCUCAAAUCAGGUAAGGACUACCCGCUGAACUUAAGCAUAUCAAUA
rnacentral:rRNA from 1 species